GACGUAGGGGGCGAGCGUUGUCCGGAGUGACUGGGCGUAAAGGGCGUGUAGGCGGUCUGGAGCGUGUGUGCGGACAGCCGUGGGCUUAACCCGCGGAGCAGCAGGCAAACGAGCAGACUGGAGGGCCACAGAGGAACUGGGAAGUCCGGGUGGAGCGGUGAAAUGCGUAGAGACCCGGAGGAACACCGAAGGCGAAGGCAAGGUUCUGGGUGGCAGCUGACGCUGAGGCGCGAAAGCCAGGGGAGCGAACGGG
rnacentral:rRNA from 1 species